AGAAGCAAAUGUGCACGACAGAAACUUUUGGGGGGUCACUCCAAACGCUGCUCUUUCUCUGCAACAUCUGAUCCACGAGCAGUUUCUGUCAGUUGUGGCUCCGCACAUCCAUGCAGACUCUCACCGGCUCCACAGACCCACCCAGCGUCAGAGCCGCUCCGCACGCAGGGGGUCCAGGCCAGCUGCUGCCCCAGCCCUCUGCUCCUCCCACUCCUACCCGCCGCUGCGACUCCUCCCUGCUGCCCCGGCCCCCUGCUCAUCCGACUCCUCCCUGCAGCUCUGACUCCUCCCUGCUGCCCCAGCCCCCUGCUGCCCCGACUCCCGCACGCAGCCAGAGGCGCUCUCAGCGCUGCAGUCCGGCCCGCGCUCCGUGAGGGGCUCUGCAGGGGCAGGCAGACAGCGCGGCGGCGGCCCAGGGGAGCCUUCUCGCCCGCUCCACCCUCCCGGGGCACCGCUCACCCAGAGCCCCGGCGCCCGUCCGUCCCACCGGCUCCUUCCCGCUCGAGCUGCUCCGGCACGGUGCUCCCUGUCCUCGCGGCUCCCCUGACCUCCGCCCCCAGGGGCCACCUGCCGCUCUCGCCGUUUUCCCGGCGCACGUCGCGCCCCCGACGCCCGCGGGGCCGCCGUUCAGGUUGUCUCUCCCCGCGCUCCGAGCCGCCCGGCCGCGCGAGAUGCCCCGGGACGCGGAGCCGGCGGGCUCCGGGGAGACGCUCACCUGGGCUCGCGGCCGGCCUCCUCCUCGCGGCCCUCCUCGGCCUGCGGCGGCUCCCGGCUCUCCACGCUCGGCCGCGGCUCCCGCUCCGGGCCCUCGGCGNGUGUCCCCGCGCUCCGAGCCGCCCGGCCGCGCGAGAUGCCCCGGGACGCGGAGCCGGCGGGCUCCGGGGAGACGCUCACCUGGGCUCGCGGCCGGCCUCCUCCUCGCGGCCCUCCUCGGCCUGCGGCGGCUCCCGGCUCUCCACGCUCGGCCGCGGCUCCCGCUCCGGGCCCUCGGCGGGCGGCGCGUCCACCUGCGGCACAGCCAGCGCCUCAGAGGCCGCGGAG
rnacentral:lncRNA from 1 species